UUGAUUGCUUCACAUAUCACCUUAUAGCACAAUAAAGACCUGUAUUAUAUAUUAAGCCGAGUUAUGUCGAUGUUGAUUACCUUGUCAUAAUUUUUUAUUGUUAUUUUGAUUUUACUUUAUCACACGGUUGUUUUGUUUACAAUAGGUUGCUUGGAGUGCCAAGAGUAUAAUUAUCAGGAUUUUGAGUAUGAAUACCAUCAUCAAACCUACGAGGAAGUUGCACCUUCAUAAACCUGGGAACGGUCUGGACUGAAACCAUAGUUUCAGUCAGUUUUUGUAUUGGGCUGCCUUCGGAUUAGAUGAAAUCAGCCAAGUCCCUAAAUCAUCUUAGUUAGGUCUGGGCUUUAACUAUUGUUGGACUGAGUUGGUUUGGUCUGGACACGAACCGAACGGUUCCAGACCGUCUCGACCCAUAGUCUGAAACCAGAUCGAUAGACCAGAUCGCGACCUAGGUGAGGAGCUCCUCUGCCCUCCGCGAGCCAUGGCCUCCGCCCGCCACUGGUAGGGAUCUUCUGCUGCCGCUGCCGACCAAAUCGUAGCGAUCUUCUGCCGCCGGCUGGAGCUUGGUCGCGCCGCUGUCUGGAGCUUAGUCGCUGCCUUCCCCUCGCUUGGCUGGAGCUUGGCCGCCGCUCACCGCUGCGUUUAGGGCUCGAUGGCUGCCGCUGUAGUUGCCAUUGGCUGGAGCUCGGCAGGUGAGAGGUAGCCGCUGCCGAUCAAGACGCCGCCGCCGGUGACUCAAGAUACGGCUGCCAAAGUUGGUUGGAUUCUGAAACAUUUGAUCAAUGCCUGUUACCUAUUGUGUAAGAUUUGGGGACUGAAUCUUGUGUGAAUGUUUCAUGUGCUGCUGUGCAUCUCUGCUUUUGUCACUGCUCAUCUUGGACAGAGUUCUUUGAGAAAUCAGGCCUACUUUUGUUCUAUUAAUCUACUCCUAACGUAUUGAUUGUUUCUUCAAGAACAGGGGGAAACGUGAAGUAUUUUUAGUGUGUUUCGCUGCAUCUUUACUCUAGAAUUAUCGAUUGAUUAUUUUCAAAGUGUUUGCAGUGUGUAGCAGAGCAAAGCUAAGGUAAAUACAAUAUAUGGAUGUGGUGCCGAUGUUGCUGCUGGAGCUUGGAAUGGCUUGAGAAGCCGCUUAUUGCACAUUUUUUUCCAAGACAGUUUUUGUAGUUCAGAAGUGAGGAAAAGAAUUUGUCUAUGUGAAUCAGCGGCAGACUCUUGUGACCUGGAGAUUCAACUGAGUGAAUCAGUUGAAUGAGUGAUAAUUUGUAACAGAUGAGCUGUAUCGUCUGAAUUUAAUUGUAUGCAUGCAACACUUAGUAUUAUUAUUGUACAAUUCAUA